rnacentral:rRNA from 1 species
UACGUAGGGUGCGAGCGUUGUCCGGAAUUAUUGGGCGUAAAGAGCUUGUAGGCGGUUUGUCGCGUCUGCCGUGAAAAUCCGGGGCUCAACCCCGGACUUGCGGUGGGUACGGGCAGACUAGAGUGUGGUAGGGGAGACUGGAAUUCCUGGUGUAGCGGUGAAAUGCGCAGAUAUCAGGAGGAACACCGAUGGCGAAGGCAGGUCUCUGGGCCACUACUGACGCUGAGAAGUGAAAGCAUGGGGAGCGAACAGG